rnacentral:rRNA from 1 species
GUAGUCCACGCUGUAAACGAUGAAGACUAGAUGUUGUGUGGCUAGGCCCAUACAGUAUCGAAGCUAACGCGAUAAGUCUUCCGCCUGGGGAGUACGACCGCAAGGUUAAAACUCAAAGGAAUUGACGGGGGCCCGCACAAGCGGUGGAGCAUGUGGUUUAAUUCGAUGCAACGCGAAGAACCUUACCUACCCUUGACAUCCUACGAAGACUGCAGAGAUGCGGUUGUGCCGAAAGGAACGUAGAGACAGGUGCUGCAUGGCUGUCGUCAGCUCGUGUUGUGAGAUGUUGGGUUAAGUCCCGUAACGAGCGCAACCCUUAUCCUUAGUUACCAGCACGUAGUGGUGGGGACUCUAAGGAGACUGCUGGUGAAGAACCGGA